AUGAUUAUAUUUAAUGGCCGCGGUAUUUUGACUGUGCAAAGGUAGCAUAAUCAUUAGCUUAUUAAUUGUAGGAUGGUAUGAAUGGUUGGACGAGAUAUUAACUGUCUUCAUGUUUAUUUAUGGAAGUUAAUUUUUGAGUUAAAAAGCUUAAAUUUUUUUAAAGGACGAGAAGACCCUAUAGAUCUUUAUUAAUAUUAUUUUAUUUAUUUUUGGUUUAUUUUUUUUUUUUGAAGUUUUAUUUUUUUUGUUGGGGUGACAUUUAGAUAUAAUUAACUCUUUUGUUUUUUUUCAUUGAUUUUUGUUUAUGUGAUUUUUUAUUAUUUNUUUAAGACAUAGAUACCUUAGGGAUAACAGCGUAAUUCUUUUUGAGAGUUCAUAUUGACAUU
rnacentral:rRNA from 1 species